AGCAUGGCACAGUGGUUUGGGUAUUGGAUUAGGACUCUGGAGACCAGGGUUCAAUUCCCUGCUCUGCCA